AGAAAAUAGUGUGGGAUAUUGAAUUAUGGGAGGCUCUGACUGUCUCGGGUGUCAGCUUAACAUUCCACAGAUGGGGGGUUAGUUUUUAUAUCCUAUAAUACAAAGCAUAUUAAAUGGCAAUAUGGAGUCAGUCCUGCAUUUAAUGUCUUGAACAUUUUAAAUUACUUCUAUUACCAUGUUGUUUUUUAGUAGAAUUGUUUCCUAAAGAAAACCACUCUUUGAUCAUGGCUCUCUCUGCCAGAAUUGUGUGCACUCUGUAACAUCUUUGUGGUAGUCCUGUUUUCCUAAUAACUUUGUUACUGUGCUGUGAAAGAUUACAGAUUUGAACAUGUAGUGUACGUGCUGUUGAGUUGUGAACUGGUGGGCCGUAUGUAACAGCUGACCAACGUGAAGAUACUGGUACUUGAUAGCCUCUUAAGGAAAAUUUGCUUCCAAAUUUUAAGCUGGAAAGUCACUGGAAUAACUUUAAAAAAGAAUUACAAUACAUGGCUUUUUAGAAUUUCGUUACGUAUGUUAAGAUUUGUGUACAAAUUGAAAUGUCUGUA
rnacentral:lncRNA from 1 species